UAUGUAAUUAUUUAACGUUAGUAUAUAUUACGUUUACACUCAUUUAAUAUACAGUCGUAUAAACAUAAUUUAUUAUUAAAACAAUUCCAUGGUUUGAUCGAUUUUUUACUAUGGUAAUAUUUGACAAAUUGAUUUUGCAUCGUUUUGCUCUAUACUUCAUGGUUUUGCUGUUUUGCUCCGAUUUAAAACAGCUGAUCGUCAAAGUUACGUCUUAUCAUGUCUUAUAAUAAAUGACACUUGUAGAUCAUAUAAAAACAAACAAAAUAUUUAAUAACAUCAUUGUUAAUGGUAAACCACAAUAUAUAUCACAAUGGCGACUAUGGUUAAAGAAAAAUCGAAAGACAAAAAAAAGAAUAAAAAUAAACUCAAAUUA